AAAAAAAAAAAAUCAUCAUCAUCAUCUCUGUCCCACAAUCAUAACCUAGGAAAAACCAGGCCAUACAGAGAUAGGCGCUGAAGGGACACGGAGAGAAGUGACCGGAAGACGAGUGUGAGCCUCUGUCAUGCCCGGACAUGGCCACUAGAGGGCUCCCUGGUCUAGCGGUAGUGCCAGGGCCUGGGAAGGCGCCCGUUACUUAGCAGACGGGAAAGGGAGUCUCCCUUUCACCGGGAGAGUUAGAGAAGACUCUGCUCCACCACCUCUCGUGGAAGGCCUGACAUCCCUCAGGCCCGCCCGCAGCCUCUGGAGGCCUCAACGUCUCCCCGUGAUGCUGUGCUUCAGCGGUCAUGCUCCUGGUCCACUUUCAUGUUCCGCCCUGUACACCUGGCUCUGCCUUCUAGAUAGCAGUAGUAUAAUUAGUGAACGUACUAAGAGUCAUUAAAUUGCAUAGAAGAAAUAAUAGUGUAAGCGGUCCUCUCUCUCUCCGCCUCGGCUGCCAAACAGGGAAGGGCCCCCUGCCUGGUGGACACGUGACUCACGUGACCUUACCAAUCACUGGAGACGGCUCACACUCCUUACCCUGCCCCUUUUGCCUUGUAUCCAAUAAAAGCGCAGCCUGGCAUCCGGGGCCACUACAGGUCUCCGUGACUUGGUGGUAGUGGUCCCCCGGGCCCAGCUGUCUUUUCUAUCUCUUUGUCUUGUGUCUUUAUUUCUAUGAUUUCUCAUCUCCACACACGAGGAGAAAAACCCACAGACGCUGUAGGGCUGGACCCUACAUCUGGCACUCCAACAUGGGGCUCUCCCUCUCUGUGUGAAGUUGCGCCUUGAGUGUGGGACUCAGCGGAGGAUUCUGACGACAGAUUCCUGAGGAUUGCAGUCAAUAAGCUUGGUGUCUGCAGAUGCCUCCAAUGAGUCCAAAGACAAGUUCAAAGUCAACGACAAGCAAUGAUGGCGAUGGUGAUCCUAGUUAAUAAAAAGAGGGGAGAUGUGGGCGGCAAGUCUCCCAGGUGCCAAGGCAAGAGAUCAAGGGCACAAGCUGUUCCAGUAUAAUAAAGAAAAUAUAUAAAGAAAAACCAGGCCAUACAGAGAUAGGAGCUGAAGGGACACGGUGAGAAGUGACCAGAAGACGAGUGUGAGCCUCUGUCAUGCCCGGGCAUGGCCACUAGAGGGCUCCUUGGUCUAGCGGUAAUGCCAGGGCCUGGGAAGGCGCCGGUUACUUAGCAGACUGGGAAAGGGAGUCUCCCUUUCCUUGGGGAGUUAGAGAAGACUCUGCUCCACCACCUCUUGCGGAAGGCCUGACAUCCCUCAGGCCCGCCCGCAGUCAUCCGGAGGCCUCAACGUCUCCCUGUGAUGCUGUGCUUCAGCGGUCAUGCUCCUGGUCCACUUUCAUGUUCCGCCCUGUACACCUGGCUCUGCCUUCUAGAUAGCAGUAGUAUAAUUAGUGAACGUACUAAGAGUCAUUAAAUUGCAUAGAAGAAAUAAUAGUGUAAGCGGUCCUCUCUCUCUCUGCCUUGGCUGCCAAACAGGGAAGGGCCCCCUGCCUGGUGGACACGUGACUCACGUGACCUUAUCAAUCAUUGGAGACGGCUCACACUCCUUACCCUGCCCCCUUGUCUUGUAUCCAAUAAAUAACAGCGCAGCCAGGCAUUCGGGGCCAUUAACGGUCUCCACGUCUAGGUGGUAGUGUUCCCCCAGGCCCAGUUGUCUUUUCUUCUA